GAUGAUAAAAUAGCUCAGUAGGUAGAGCAUGAGACUCUUAAUCUCAGGGUUGUGGGUUUGAGCACCACGUCGGGCCA